rnacentral:lncRNA from 1 species
CUUAUGUAAACCUAAUGUAAUGUACUACCUAAAAUACUGAAACUGUAUAUAAAUAUGGGGCACUUAGAUCUUCAGUGGGCACUGGAUCAGGGUAUUGGUGAAUGAGAUUUCCCCUUCAUAAAUUUGCUUCUGAAUAUAUCCACUGUAGGAGUCCUGCCUUCAGAGUCCAGGAAGCAGUUAAACUUUGGAAGCAGGUACAUCUCAACCCAUAGAUCCUAAAAUCCUAGACAAGGUUAUGAAGAUCUGUGCCUUCCAUCUGACCUUUUUUCUUGCCUUUCCACUGGGAACAAUGGGUCACAGACCAUCCCUCCAGAAAAGAUGCCCAGGGAAGGACAGCCCCUCCUUGAUGCAACUGCUAGCAGAGAACUCAACAUUGCUGAAGUGGAAGCAUACUGGAAGAGGUCUCAUCUUCUUUUUCCCAGUACCUUUUCCACCCCAUAAUCAUACACAUUGAUAGAAGCAGAAAAAUAUACAAAGCCUGUACAAAUAAGCUACACUUGAUACACUAUGAACAAAGUGGAGGAAAAACUACCAGAAAAUAUUUUAAGUUUCAAUUUGCUGCAAAGUAUUUGUCAUCAGUUAGGAAAAGAAA